GCGGAGGAAAAGAAAGCAACAGCGAUAGCCUCAGUAACGGCGAGUGAAGCGGCUACAGCUCAAAUUUGAAAUCUGGCCUCCUUUGGUGGUCCGAGUUGUAAUUUGCAGAGGAUGCUUUGGCAUUGGCGGCGGUCUAAGUUCCUUGGAACAGGACAUCGCAGAGGGUGAGAAUCCCGUACGUGGGCGCCUGCCUUUGCCGUGUAAAGCUCCUUCGACGAGUCGAGUUGUUUGGGAAUGCAGCUCUAAAUGGGAGGUAAAUUUCUCCUAAAGCUAAAUACCGGCCAGAGACCGAUAGCGCACAAGUAGAGUGAUCGAAAGAUGAAAAGUACUUUGGAAAGAGAGUCAAAUAGCACGUGAAAUUGUUGAAAGGGAAGCGCUUGCAGCCAGACUUGCCCGCAGUUGCUCACCUAGGCUUUUGCCUGGGGCACUCUUCUGCGGGCAGGCCAGCAUCAGUUUGGGCGGUCGGAUAAAGGUCUCUGUCAUGUACCACCCUUCGGGGUGGCCUUAUAGGGGAGACGCAUAUGCGACCAGCCC
rnacentral:sRNA from 1 species